CCUCCUUCCUGCCGUCCCCCGCCUGAGGGAGGGGAGCGGUGCAGCAGACAUCCGAGGGCAGCUGGGACCCCCUGACUCAGCCGACGGGUGAGUCAGGCUCCCUGCAGGCCACACCGGACCCCCCCAGGGCGGGGAUUUCCCCAAGAUGAGAAAUCAGCCACCGGAAGUCACGCCGGACCUUGGACGGGCAGACAGAGGCUGGGAGGAGUUCUGGGUGCAGAGCCCCCCAACCUGUGCUCUCAUCUCUUGCUCUGGGGUAAGCCAGUGGCCAUGCUAUAAGGACACUCAAGCCACCCUAUGAAGAAGCCCACAUGAAGAGGAACUGAGAUAUCUGGCCAACAGCCAGCCAGUCACUGAGCCUGCCAACCACGCUGUGGCAGGUACCUCCAGCCCCAGACACCUGCAGCCUCCACUGAAAGCUCAAUGGCAGCCUCAUGAGACCCUGGACCGGAACCACCCAACGAAGCGGCUCCUGUAUUCCUGAUUGACAGAAACUACGGGAUCAUAAAUGCUUGCUGUUCAGUCUGCCAAGUGUUGGCGUGAUUUGUUAAACAGCAACCAGUAACUAAUACGCCACCCAUGGCUGCCGCGUUCCUGCUGUGGGGCCAGCACUAUUCCAUGCUUAGAGGCUCCAUCAAUACCUGUGAUGGACUAAAUGGUCAGUACAAACAACAGCUCCUCUGUAAUGGUAUGAGGCAGACAGGUUUCUAAAGGCAAUAUGCUAAGGUGCAAACUCAACCCCAAAAGACCACAUAGUGUAUCAUCCCAUUUAUAUGAAAUGUCCAGAACAGGCAAAUCCAUAGAGACAGAAAGCAGAUUAGUGGUUGCCAGAGGCUGAGAGAUGGAAGAAAAGUAGAGAGUAACUGCUAAUGGUGUGAAAUCUCUUUUUGGAGUGAUGAAAAUGUUUUAAUUUUUU
rnacentral:lncRNA from 1 species